CUUUAUGGAUGCUAUUCAUAUCCUUUAAACUAAUCCUAAUUAUCUGAUUUAGCUUCUUUGGGACGACUUACCUACAUCAAAUUGUCGAGUGGAGGAUCCUACUGUCACUGGGAUUCCUUUGAAGCUGAAGCUUGCGGAACUUUGGAUCUGCAAGUAAUGGAUGGUACAAAAAGAACAUCAGGAAUGAAUUUAGUACCUGAUUUUGUCUCCAUUGCUACUAUUCAUCAACAACACCAGUACAAAAAGAACAUCAGGAAUGAAUUUAGUACCUGAUUUUGUCUCCAUUGCUACUAUUCAUCAAGAACACCAGUAAAUGCUUGCAUUUUAGUCAUUUUCCAAUCUAAUGGAAAACUUUUAUCUUUCAUUUUUACAAUCACCAUUGCCAAUUUUAACAAAGGACACAUUUGACCUAUCCAACUCCUUGAAUGAUGUUGGAUUCGAAGUCAUAUGAUGUAUGCAUCCAUUGUCUACCAACUAAACAUAUGUAUUAAAUUUGUUGUUAUAACAGGCAAUAAAAAAAUGUUUUUCUUGUU